UGUAGCUCAGUGGUAGAGCACUUGCCUAGCAUGGGCAAGGCCCUGGGUUCAGUUCCCAGCA
rnacentral:tRNA from 1 species